CACUGGGGGCAGGGGGAGGCGAAGGUGUUUUUCUUGAGAGCUAAGCCACCUUGGAGCAGGAGGCCCUUGCUCCAGAUGAUCUCCUAGUGGAGGUCCCACCCUGACUCCUCUCGAGGCCUUGAAGGGAGUCCUCCAAACGCCACCAAGAAUGGCGCAUGGCUGCCAGCUUGAUUCUCCUGCAGGAACAUCAGCCGUGCCCAAGGAGCUGGUGAUCCCUGCUCACAGCAUUCAUUCCCAGCCUCCACUGGGCAUCCACAGUUCCUCAGCCUCUGCAGGGAGAAAGGCUGUGUCUCAUUCCCAGGCCUUCUUGGGGCAGAGCUCCCCCUUGCUGGGAGCUCAUCGCCAGCGGGGCAGUGAAGCCAACAGCUGCUUUCUCUGGCUGCAGCUUGGAGAGAUUUUGACCUGAUACUCUGCCCCCGCACAUCCCUCUCUGGCUGGAGCCCAGCGGGAAUAAGCAGAGACAUUCAGAUGAUGCAUCGCAGGAGAACCAUUUUAAUUAAAAGUGAUGCUUUGGUCAGCGGGGUACAGACUUCUUUGGGAAUAUAAGGAGGAGAAGUGAGCUGGAUGGAAAGCCACAUCCAGGCCCUGCAUGCUGCGCCUGCCCACAGCCAUAACCCUGGAGGAGUCAGAGGUGGAGCAGCCUCCAGCCUGGCACAGAGGCAGGUGCCAUGAUGGCAAGAAGUACCACACUCCUGUCCCAGAAAGGAUGUGUCCCACCACCUUCCCACCUUGGCCAGCAGAAGCCUGGCCAUGUGGUCAGCACUGAACCCACCACAUAAACCACAAUUACAUCUCAGGUAACAUGGGGAACACUUCCAGCCUGCACUGCUGGUUGCUGUGAAGAGCCAUAUUUACCAAUCAGCAAUAGCAAGACAGAGGGAGCAUGGCAGGAGGAUGAGUGGCAUAGGAUGGAGGUGGGAAAGUUAUGCAAUGCCAUGGCCAUGGCAAUGCCUGGUGAGACAGUGAGGAAAGGGUGGAGAGCGACUACGUGAUGCUUC